rnacentral:rRNA from 1 species
UCCAGACUCCUACGGGAGGCAGCAGUGAGGAAUAUUGGUCAAUGGGCGGAAGCCUGAACCAGCCAAGUCGCGUGAGGGAAGAAGGCCCUGCGGGUCGCAGACCUCUUUGGACGGGGAGCAAGGCCGCCGACGUGUCGGCGGAAGGAGAGUACCCGUAGAACAAGCAUCGGCUAACUCCGUGCCAGCAGCCGCGGUAAUACGGAGGAUGCGAGCGUUAUCCGGAUUUACUGGGUGUAAAGGGCGUGCAGCCGGAGAGACAAGUCAGAUGUGAAAUCCACGGGCUCAACCCGUGAACUGCAUUUGAAACUGUUUCCCUUGAGUGUCGGAGAGGUAAUCGGAAUUCCUUGUGUAGCGGUGAAAUGCGUAGAUAUAAGGAAGAACACCAGUGGCAAAGGCGGAUUACUGGACGAUAACUGACGGUGAGGCGCGAAAGCGUGGGGAGCAAACAGGAUUAGAUACCCGUGUA